GUUGAGAGGAUUUAGGGCCUGAUUGGAUUCAUACCAAAUCUAGCCCUACCAAUAUAUAUAGGUCAGCCCAUAAAUUUUGGUAACUGUUUGGAUCGCGACCAAAAUUCACUUGCCCUGCCCAGCUCUGGCGCGCCCCUAUCCAAUUUUCGCCAACGCGUGGGCGCUGUGAGGGCGCGGAAAUCGUCCGCCAAAAAUUUGGCAGCCAAAUCGCGCAUGGAUUUCUCGUCCCGGUAUAAAAGCUGAGCAUCAAUCUCGCGCGCGGAUUUCUCAUCCAUUUGUUUCUCUUCUCAGCUGCCACCGCAAGGACGAGAGGAGGCCUCAGAUCUGCUGCUGUCGCCGGCACGCCGGCGAAGUGAACCGGCGCUGCUCCGGCGGCCACCAACGCUAGUCUCCACCUCUCUUCCUCCUCUCUGCAAGUACUCAAGAUAAGCACCCCAAGGUCAGAACUCAAGAAUCUCCUCAAACUCACCGUAAUCCCCUUUGCUUGUGGCUAGAUUUACUUUUUCUUGGCUCUUUUAGGUACGGAUUCACCUGGAUGUCUGUUCUACUGGCCAUAUCUGAAGUAUUCCGUACUAAAUUCUUGUUUUCUUGGUGUUUCCACAUAAUUUGGAUCAAACUGCAUCCAUUCGACAUUGCUUAAAGGACAUCCUUGACAUCACACUGAGCUCAGUAGUGCAAAACUAAAAGUAAGCUAAAUUUUUAACUUGUCGACCAUGAACCAUCUGAUUAGUUUUAUGCUGUGCCAUUUCAUAAAAAAAUAAUCUCCCAAAUAGUAUGCUUAUGCGGUCAUCUAUUUUAAUUAAUAACCCAUACACAUUAUUGGACAUGUUUUAUUCUUCCAGAUGGACAUCAAUGAACAACAAUAUAAUUAUCACCAGGCGGGCUCUAGCCAGCUUCCCCACCUGAUUUGCUUAAAAAACAGACUGGGCCACUAAUUUCGCCCCCCAGCCCAUCUGCACUAGAGCCCACUGCCCACUAGGUCCCUGCUGCCCACCAAGCCCAACUAGAAGACCUUCCCGAUCCGUGAACUGCUCGAUCCAGGUUGAACUCGAAGGGACGCCCGCCUCCGCCCGACUGCCCGAGACCCCGAGUCCCUGGCGCACGCAGCCAAGGGGCAAUCGAUGCUCCUUCUGCCGUCUUCCCAAAUCCCUAAUUUCUGCAGCAGGAUAACCGCGAGAGGAAGCUUCCAAGGUGACCAUAGGAACUGUUGGAUUGUGUUCGGAUUAAGACGUGUCUCCGAACUAAAUUGGUGAGACUUUCUCCACCAUUGCAUGAUUACGUCGAGAAGGAACUAGCAGCAAAGUUCAGUUCUGACAAAAUUAUUGAUGCCUUUGAUCUUUGUGGCGGUCGCCGUGCUCGUAGAGCCAACUUCAAAUUAGUAGAAAUAUAAUUUGUAUUUUUAUUUUGACUACUUAGACAUGACUGUAUUUGAUAUGAUAUCAAGACUAUAUGUCUUGAAUGGAGUUCAUCUUUCGGCUUUACUUUUUCUCGCCCCCCUCAUGCCGAAUUUCUGGCUCCGUCCCUGGCUCUACCUGUGCUUGUUCUUUUCUUGGCUAUGUGGUGUAAAAGCAGAGAUGGUAGGAGAACUAGGGGUAGAAGUAGAAAAUAUGGUCCAUUGGUUGAUAGAGACAUCCAUAGGACUAGUGUACUGAUUAGGCUUAUUGACACAUCUGAUGCAACUUGCAUCAAGCAACUAAGGAUGUCUCGAGCUGUAUUUUACAAGCUAUGUACUAGAUUAAGUCAGAAGAGGCUGUCAAUCGACACGUUUCAUGUUUUGGCGGAGGAACAAGUUGCAAUGUUUCAAUAUAUGGUGGGUCAGCAUCACACAAACUCGUCCGUUGGAUUUUGGUUUUGGUGAUCUGGUGAAACAGUGAGUAGAUACUUCAAUAUUGUCUUGCAUUCCAUGGGUGAGCUAGCACGUGAUCUCAUUUAUAUUCGAUCAACGAAUACACACACAAAGAUCACAGACAACCCGAACAGAUUCCACGCAUACUUUGAGGGAUAUAUAGGGGCACUAGAUGGUACUCAUGUCAAGGCAUGUACCUGCCCACAUGGUGGACAGAUUCACUUAUGUAUAGGGGCCAGAAGUUGUACCCCUCCCAAAAUGUGCUAGCAGUUGUUGAUUUCGACCUUCGAUUCACUUAUGUUCUAGCAGGGUGGGAGGGAUCUGCCCAUGAUUCCCUUGUGUUAAAUGAUGCACUCACACGUCGAGCGGGCCUGAAAAUACCUGAAGGGAAAUUUUUCUUGGCUGAUGCUGGGGUUGCUGCGAGGCUGGGGAUAUUGCCUCCCUAUCGUGGUGUGCGCUACCACCUAAAUGAGUUUGCUGGAUCUCAUCACCUGACUACCCCAAGAGAAUUAUUCAACCUCCGACAUUCAUCACUUAGAACCACGGUAGAACGAGCAUUUGGGACACUUUAGAGUCGGUUCAAGAUUCUUACUCAUAGGCCCUUCAUACCUCUAAAAUCCCAGAUCAAGGUGGUUGUUUCUUGUUGUGCUUUGCACAAUUGGAUAUUGGAAAAUGGUCCAGAUGAGUACGUUGUGGAUGAAGUGACAUGGUACUCCAACCUCCCUACGAGUAGUGGGCGGGUUCGUGACCGAGAGGCUGACAUACGUGAGUGGGCUGCAAAGAGGGACUUGUUAGCCCAGCAAAUGAGGAUGCUACCUCAGCGGAGUGACGUUCAUGUAUUCCUUCACGAGAACAGAUUGUAGUUUCUUUUGCUUUAGUGUUUGGUUGUAAUGAAUUUAUGUGACUCAGUGUAUCCUUCUAAGACCGUUCGGCUUAUUUCAAUAUCUUAAUUAUGUGGCAAGUCAUUUGGCUUGAAACCAAAUGGAAGCCAAUGAUUUUGCCAAAAUUUUGGGAGGAAAACUGGCUGCAAACCAAACAGUCACAGGCUACCAAAAUUUUGGUCAUGCCCAUGAUUUGGUAAUGCCAAAAUUUUGGGAGGGCUGGCAUGGGCAUAAACCAAACAGGCUCUGACAGCUAAAACAUGAGCCAUCGAAGUCUGACAGCUACGCGCAAUUCGGUACAAGGAGGAAAUUGAUAUUUUAAUGGCAAAGAACCAAACCAUUUGUCCAAAAAAACAAACCUUUAUUCAUAGUGAAAGUCACAUUACAGAACAAAUGAUGUCUCAUCCACAAGAGCCCCUUUCAAAAGGGAGAAUCUGUGACCCUCAUAUCCUGCUGAGACAAUGAUUUAACUCAAGCCAAAAAAACCACCAUCCAAAAUGUUGAAAAGCCAUUUACCAAGCAAGCAUAUAUUUUUUGAUUUCUAAAUUCUCCACCCCAACCCAUCUUGCUUUAAAUGUUAAUGACUUAUGUAUAUGACAUGUCUAUCAUUCUGAAACUUGUAUGACAUAUUUGUGAUCCUUCGCUUGUCUCUAAGAAAUCUUCUGGAAACAAAGGUAAGAUUUGUACCAAAGAUUUAUUAGUCUUGUCUAUUUAAACAGUCUUAAGAAUACUGACAAAUGAUUUAGUUGUGUUCUAAAGAAAGUUAAGUCUACGAAUGGGAUUAUUGACUGGAUGGAUGGUGCUGGAGCAAAGUUGGUUACUGUCGCGUGUGGGAACGCAAAAACUAGUGAUGCUACGCACUCUCUAUUUGUUCGGCAAUGGUGUGAGAUGCUCCAAACACCAUCGACACACACACACACACGAGUUUUACCAUACGUCCAACUUGUCUGUAUUGCUUGAGAUGAACAAGUGUGUACAAGAGGGAUUUUCUCUCUCUCGGUUGCUAGGCACUACGCCUACUAUGCUUCCUGGGUUUCUCUGUAUAUUGCUCUAUAGGGUUCCAACCGUUUACACACUGGCCCUGGUCUUCCUGUUUCUAUGAAUCGGCUUCAAAGCGUUUUUGUUGUUGUUGUUGCA